CCCUUAGAUGUUCUGGGCCGCACGCGUGCUACACUGAGUAAUUCAAUGGGUAAGGGAACGCUAGAGCAUUACCUAAUCUUGAAAUUUGCUCGUGAUGGGGAUCGACGGUUGCAAUUUUCCGUCGUGAACGAGGAAUACCUUGUAGGCGCAUGUCAUCAUCAUGCGCCGAAUACGUCCCUGCCCUUUGUACACACCGCCCGUCGCUCCUACCGAUUGAGUGAUCCGGUGAGGCUCUGGGACCUGGACGGAAAGAGCGUUUCGCUUGUUCUGUUUGGGAAACUUGGUCGAACCUUAUCAUUUAGAGGAAGGAGAAGACGUAACA
rnacentral:rRNA from 1 species